rnacentral:rRNA from 1 species
CAAUGAUUCCUACAGUAACGGCGAGUGAAGUAGGAAAAGCCCAUAGCCGAAUUCCGCUGUCCUCGACGGCAGCUGGAAGUUGUGGCGUUUGGAACUGCCUUUAGUAACCGAUCGGCCGGGCUACGCGACUCCUCUUGAUUGUGGUUUGCCCAUAGCAGGUGAAAGGCCUAUAGUCGUAGCCUCGUGUUGAAGGCCGGCGGUGAUGGCAGUCCUUAGAGUCGGGUUGUUUGGGAUUGCAGCCCGAAGCAGGUGGUAAACUCCACCUAAGGCUAAAUACGAUCGCGAGUCCGAUAGCGCACAAGUACCGUGAGGGACAGUUGAAAAGAACUUUGAAGAGAGAGUUCAAAGUACGUGAAACCGUUCAGAGGUAAACGGGUAGAAAGUCGAAUUGAAGGCUGACAAUCAGAUCGCAGCUAUGUCUGUGCAGGUCGGCAGCACGUUAAAAGGCUUGCCGGUUUGCAUGCAAGGCAGGCAGUGGUUGUAUUUGUUGGCUUUGGAUCGCCGCAACGGCAGUGACUCCGACCGGCUGGCGUCGGUUCCUCUGGUCGAUGUAGAUUCGUAUGAGUCUUUUCGUCGGCACACGAAUCGGCGUCCCGCGUACUUGGCACUGCCGAUAUUAUCAUGCAGCUUAAGUGCUCCAACUGGUUGUCCGUUCGUUGCGUAAYGGYWGGCUGAUCUUAAACAAGUUCAACUGCUGUUAUCGAAGCGGCGGCGGCUGGCUUAACGACGGAGCAAAGGUUGCUUUGGCGGCGUUUGACAACGAGUUGUCUACCUGACCCGUCUUGAAACACGGACCAAGGAGUCUAACCUGUGCGCGAGCCAUUGAGAYAUUAAUAAACUCAAAGGCAAAGUGAAAGCAAAAAUGGUGAGAUCUGUCGUUUAUUUUGGCAACGGAAUAACGGCGGCGCAUCAUCGUCACGCUUCAAUCUGGCUUCGGCUGGAGAGGCGCAGACAGAGCGCACAAGCUGGGACCCGAAAGAUGGUGAACUAUGCGAGGCGAGGUCGAAGCCAGAGGAAACUCUGGUGGAGGACUGUAGCGGUUCUAACGUGCAAAUUGAUCGUCGCAGCUUCGUAUAGGGGCGAAAGACUAAUCGA